UACGUAGGUGGCAAGCGUUGUCCGGAAUUAUUGGGCGUAAAGCGCGCGCAGGCGGUCCUUUAAGUCUGAUGUGAAAGCCCACGGCUCAACCGUGGAGGGUCAUUGGAAACUGGGGGACUUGAGUACAGAAGAGAAGAGUGGAAUUCCACGUGUAGCGGUGAAAUGCGUAGAGAUGUGGAGGAACACCAGUGGCGAAGGCGACUCUUUGGUCUGUAACUAACGCUGAGGCGCGAAAGCGUGGGGAGCAAACAGG
rnacentral:rRNA from 1 species